rnacentral:rRNA from 1 species
AUGAACGCUGGCGGCAGGCCUAACACAUGCAAGUCGAACGGUAACAGAAAGAAGCUUGCUUCUUUGCUGACGAGUGGCGGACGGGUGAGUAAUGUCUGGGAAACUGCCUGAUGGAGGGGGAUAACUACUGGAAACGGUAGCUAAUACCGCAUAACGUCGCAAGACCAAAGAGGGGGACCUUCGGGCCUCUUGCCAUCGGAUGUGCCCAGAUGGGAUUAGCUAGUAGGUGGGGUAACGGCUCACCUAGGCGACGAUCCCUAGCUGGUCUGAGAGGAUGACCAGCCACACUGGAACUGAGACACGGUCCAGACUCCUACGGGAGGCAGCAGUGGGGAAUAUUGCACAAUGGGCGCAAGCCUGAUGCAGCCAUGCCGCGUGUAUGAAGAAGGCCUUCGGGUUGUAAAGUACUUUCAGCGGGGAGGAAGGGAGUAAAGUUAAUACCUU